CCCGCGUUGAGUUUCACGAGAGAGUAGGAGAUCACCUGUACAGUCUGCAACAUGAAAUUUAUUCUUCUUGCCGUGUUUGCCUGCGUGGCUGCUGCUGCCCCUCAGGGAUAUGAAGCCCCUGCACCCUCUCGUUAUGACUCCGAGGAAGUGCCCAUCCUCAGGGACGAACGCGUGAUCGAAGACGACGGAAGGUACAACUUCGACGGGAAACAGGAGACCGCAUCGUGGUGUCAGAGUCUGGAUCUCCCAGCGCAGACGGAGGCAUCAACAGCGCUGGAUCAUACUCCUACACCGCUCCUGACGGCACUCCCGUCCGCGUGGAGUUCGUGGCUCACGAGGACGGCUUCCAGCCUCAGGGCGCCCACCUGCCCGUGGCCCCCGAGUUCCCCCACCCGAUCCCUGACUUCGUCCUUGAGCAGAUCGCCUUCGCCGCUGAGGAGGACGCCCGCAGGCCCAAAGAGCCCUCCGACAGAUACAGCGCCCCUUAGUCAGAAUGCGUAAUAUUGUGUAGAUAGUACAAUGAUGUUCUGUUGUUGAAGAUUUGCAUGCUCUUCCUAUUUAUGAUUAUCCAAUAGAAUAAAAGAUACAGCUACACAUA